AUGAUUAUUCGCAUUAGGGUUCUUCCUCACCGGCGACUUGGGGGCGACCUCCUGCGCCUCCCCCACAUCCACCGAGCCGGUUCUUCCUCACCGACAAUUUGGCGGCGACCUCCUGCGCCCCCACAUCCACCGAUCCCCCCGCGGCGACCUCCUGCGCCUCCUCCACUGGCGAUUUGGUGGCGACCUCCUGCGCCCCCAAAUCCACCGAUCCCCCCGCGGCGACCUCCUGCGCCUCCUCCCCGGCACCGUGCUCCCUAGCUUGCCCGGCGAGGACCAGAAGGUCGUCACCACCCUCAGCGCUGGCUCAUCAACCGACAAGAUCCGGAUCAACUCCACACAUCGUGGCGAUCAACUCGUGUGCCGCCAUCCACAGCAUCUACGUUCCGUUCCCCCGCCUCCACCUCGCCAACCUCGGCACCCGACCUGCUUGGCCCUGCUCCGUUGGCGAACCCGGCUCGAGCUGCAGUGGUCGUCCCCGAAGGCAGGAAGCGCCUUCUACUUCAUCCUCCAAUUUUGGCAUGGCAGAGUCGAGCUCGCAAGGUUCUAGGAUAAGUGCAGGCAGUCAUGGUGGCCGUGGCCUUCUGAGGUCGCGACCACCGGUGCCCUACAGAGAAGGCCCUCUAUCUUAUGAGCCUGCCGUGGUGUGUAUGUGCAACAGAAAGGCACCACGGUGGAUUUCAUGGAGUGAUGAUAAUCCAGGUCGGAGGUACUAAAGAUCCAACCGAGCAAGGACUGAAGGGGACUGUGGCUUCUAUCUGUGGUUUGAUCCUGAGCACACAACAUUUAUGAAGAAUUUACUUUUCGAUCUCCGUAAUGCUGUUUGGGAGUUGAGAAGCAAAGCGGAGGAUAUUGCUGAGCUGAAGCAAAUAAAUGAAAUGGUGUCUAGUGAUAAUAAAGAGAAGGUUUUUGUCCUAAAGGCACAAGAGAGGAACCUGGAGGAGAAGAAUAAGCAACUGGAAGAGAAGAAUAAGCAAUUGGUACUCCUGGCUAACAAGAUCAGUGAGGGGAAUAGGUGUAGUUUAUUCUAUUGUGGCUUUGUAAUGUUUCUUGUUGGCCUGUUCUUUGGCCUGAUGUUAGGUGCCAUGUGACGUAUCCAUGUUGGGGAAGAAGGUUUUGAAUGUCCUGAUAGAAAUAAGUUAAAUAUUGAUGUAUACACGUGUUCAUAACCUUAUUGUGAGUAGGUGUAGUUUAUCUAGUAUGAUCAUAAUAUCAUACUAGAUUGGUCCAUGGGUUCAAUGGUUCUAGAUUGAUUUGGCU